rnacentral:lncRNA from 1 species
GUGCAGUUGACCACAUUUUAAUAUCGAACUGAAAAAGCUCUUAUGCAAUCCAUAUUUUUAAAAUAAGAUAUAUUUUCGCAGGCUGCUGUCACACGACAAAGAACAGAAUGUGGUCCUGAACCAUUUCAUCAAUCUUAGUGUAGGGCAGACACCUAGCCUACAUUUUGCCAAAUUAAACUGGCUGGUUGAUACAACCUCGUAUUGGCUACAAUGAGCUGUAAGUGUCAGAGACAACCAGCUACAUGAAGCCCGAAAUGCAAAAAAAAUUACUAGCGAGCAGUCGAGAACUUGGCUAGCCAGCUCAGCUAACGUUAGCCAAAUUAGUAGCAAACGUUAGCAAGCUAGGUUUAGUUAGCUAGUUAUGACGUUUCUCGUAGCAGAGUACUAAGACGGAUUUUAAAAAUAGCGAACAUGGUAACACAAUGCUAACUAAAGCAAGUAAAUUAUCUUGAUUGAAUAAAGUAUAUUACCUUGACGAAGGGAGGACAUGUCUAUGUUGUUCAGGUCCUUUCACGUCAGACUCCACAUCCAAACGACACAUCGAGGCAGUUCGAAUUCCGCUUUUCCUUCUCACCGACGACUUAUCGUAGGAUACAAUAACCCUUUAAACCAUAUCGUUGUUCUUUAUUAGUUAGCUAGUUCUUCCAGUCAGUUCACAUUUAACAGUAAAUUGUUGUCCACGGCAAAGUAAGAAACGUGUGAGACCACCUAGGGACUAUUCAACGCUAGCUAGCUGCAUACCGCUCAAUGAAUCAGCUAGCGGAGACAAGAAUACAGUUAUAGCUAGCAAAAAAACAUAUACUGUUAGCUACAUUAUGCUAACAGGCCUUUGAAAUUACAACAAUCUUAAGACUUUGAAAGUCGAAAAGUGAAAGUCUGGACAUUCCUGGCCAAAACUCCUCUAUGGCAGACAUCAAAUUAACUGAAGAACUACCUCCAGUACCGUUCAACACUCUGGUUACAUUGAAGUUGUAACCUACCCGAAGGGAAUCAGUUUUGCCGCUCUGACUCUGUUUCCUGUCUCCUGUUCCACAUCUCACCACCCUGCUACCCUGUUCUGGAUUCAGCUCACCACCACUCCCUUGGAUUCCCCUCCGGACCUGUUUACCCUGUCCCAACCGAGCUCACUCCAAUCUCAUUCUCCACAUCUGGUUUCCUACAACUCAUCUGAGCUUCCCCGGGUCUGCACUCCGUCUCUCCCUGUGUUACAAUAAAUACCUUGGUUCAUUCAUCCCUGUUUCCUUGUCUGAAUCUGCUCGUGGGUUCCCCUGUGCUGCUCCGCCUAACAACGUUGGCUGCAUACUAUCGUUGACAGUGACUGCUCAGAGUUGGAGGCCGAAUCAAGCAAUCUAAAUUAGGAACAAACAAUGUCAACCCCAUCAAAAUUCCAGGUCGCCACCACCUGACAACCUUGCUUGUGCAUCACCACCAUGAGGCUGUGAAGCAUCAAGGGAGACAUUUCACAUAGGGUACCAUUCGAGCAGAUGGACUCUGGUUGGUUGGAGCUAACAAGCUGACCAGACCGAAUGAGUGCGAGCCUCCGCCAUCGUGCGCAAGGUGAUUUAAAAACAAAAAUUAUUUGUCCCCCCCACACCAGACGCAAUCAGGACACGCAGGUUGAAAUAUCAAAACAAACUCUGAACCAACUAUAUUCAUUUGUGGACAGGUCGAAAAGCAUUAAACAUUUAUGGCAAUUUAGCUAGCUAGCUUGCUGUUGCUAGCUAAUUUGUUCUGGGAUAUAAACAUUGGGUUGUUAUUUUACCUGAAAUGCACAAGGUCCUCUACUCCGACAAUUAAUCCACAGAUAAAAGGGUAAAAGUUUGUUUUCUAGUAAUCUCUCCUCCUUCAGGCUUCUUCUUCUUUGGACUUUAUAUGGCGGUUGGCAACCAACUUUAAGGUGCAUUACCACAACCGACUGGACUGGAGUGUUGGCCUCAGUUCACCUUUCAAUCACCCACAUGGGUAUAUGCUCCUAUAAACCAAUGAGGAGAUGGGAGAGGCAGGACUUGCAGCGCGUCGAGCAUCACAAAUAGAACCAGGUUCUAUUUUAGCGGCUGGCCAAGCAGACGCUCGUUGACACGUGCGAGCAAUGUGGAUGCAAUGAUUGAAUAACAUGUAUGUGUACAUUUAUUUUGCAACACUUGCGGUCUGGUCAGCAUGUAAGGGAUGUGGUGCAGUCUUCAAGUGUGUCACGUGCAAUAAGCUCCAUGGGAAGAGGAAACUCCAGCAGAUGGCAGAACUGCCAGCUGAGUGGCUACAGGUAGCACCACUUUUCACUUACGUAGGUGUGGACGUUUUCGGCUCUUGUGCAUAUGGGAGGUGGUCUCACGCUGCACCAGAGGAGGACACGCCAAUAGCAAAAGGUGGGCGGUGAUGUUCUCAAGAGCUGAACACAUAGAAGUAAUUUAAUCACUAAGUGCUUCCAGCUUUAUAAACGCCCUGAGAAGAUUCUACUCAGAGGGAUAGCAAAGCAGAUACAUUCAGAUUGCGGAACAAACUUUGUUGGUGCUUGCUGAGACCUGAGGAUGGAUGGAUCAAGGUCCAAUUCAGAGAGCAAGUAGAGGUAUCUCCAAGAACAGAAAUGUACCUGGGUAUUCAACCCACCUCACUCAUCCCAAAUGGGUCGUGCAUGGGAGUGGGUGAUUGGCAUUGCACGUCGUAUCCUUGACUGCAUGCUCCUCAAAGGUGGAUCUUCACACCUUACACAGUCCUGACAACACUGAUUACCAAGGUCACUGCUGUGAUGAAUGCCAGGCAUCUCAUCCCAGUAUCUUCAGACCCAGAAUCACCCCUCAUCCUCACUCCAGCUAUGCUCUUGACCCAGAAGACUGGCAUCCCCCCUCCUCCACCAGCCAAGUUUGGGGAAGUAGGACUCUACAAGCAAGAGUGGAAGCAGGUACAAAGUCUAGCGGACACCUUUUGGAACAGGUGGCGGGAGGAGUAUCUCUGUAUGCUGCACAGCCGAUGCAAGUGGCAGGACAAGAGGCCAGAUCUUAAAGAAGGGGAUGUUGUCUUAAUGAAGGACAGUCAGGAUAAAAUAAAUGAAUGGCCUAUGGCCAUCAGUGUGAAGACCCUUCCCAGCUGGGACGGGAUGGUGAGGAAAGUCAACGUGAGAGUUGUCAAGGAGGGAACUACUUCUCUCGGCCUAUCUCCGAAGUGGUUUUUCUUCUUUCUUCAGAAGACCUCAGUGGUCAGAGUUAGGUUUAUGUAGGAUUGUUAAAGACCCCAGGCAGGGAGUGUUUUGGACCUGUUAGUUGUUUAGCACCCCCUAGUGUCAGUUUAAGUGCAGCAGUGUAGAAUUUACCUGUUUGUGUCAUGUGACAGGAAGCAGUUUCCGAAGUCAAGCAAUGUGUAAGAUGUGCAAGUGUGACAGAGUAGUUACAGUCCUACUUUAUAAGCUUUGUAAGACGCAAUGUCUAAGUACAUUUGUUUAUUAGCACAAGAUAAAAGUUUGUCACAAUUUUCAUGUUUCUGUAAAAGUUGAAGAAUUGAGUUAGCUGUUAACAACUUUGCAUUAGCUUCAGUGCUAUUUCUCCCUAGGGACACCUAGCGUAGCAAUAUCAAGAAUACAGUUGCAU